GGUUUCUAUAAGAUAUAAAUGCCACAUCGAUCCUUCCUUCCAUUUCCCAAAUUCCGCUCUUAGUUUCUUCAACAGUUUUUUUCAGUGAGGAAUUCCCUGAAACUGCUUUCAGGGGGACUCCAUAUAUGGUUGCCAUGAAGCUGUAUGCUUUACUAAUGGCAGCUUUCAUGUUUUCAGUGCCUGGAAACAUCGGCCGGGACCAGAUCAUGGCAGCUUUACCCCAACAAGCACACCAUAGGAUGAGCAAAGGCAGGAUGGUGGAUGAAGCUGUGGCUUGGCUUUUGCUUCUUUUUGCUCUUGUUGGUUCAUACGUUUUACAUUGAUGUAGCCUUUUGGCAUUCUAGUGUCUAGUACCUUUUUUUUUUUUUCUCUUCUUUGUUAUUGCAAACUUUUGGGGAUUUAUUUUCCUCCAAACUAGUGUUGACCAUGUGCCAUGCCCAUGAGGUGGAGAAUUGAUGGUUAUGUUCUCCUCUAUUCGUUAUUUUUCUUUCUAAGUUAUUGUGUUUAUUGAAUGAGUAGCAUCAUUUUGCUCUAGUUGGAGCAAGUUACCCCCACUGAUCAGAGAAUAUUUUUACCACUGAUUAAUGGACCUUUGCCAGAUCAAUUCAUUGCAUGGGGCUGCUUUUGUUUAUUUGAUUGGUGGGUUCAAUGUAUUAAAGGAAUUGUUGAAA